UACGGAGGGGGCUAGCGUUGUUCGGAAUUACUGGGCGUAAAGGGCGCGUAGGCGGCCUGCUAAGUCGAACGUGAAAUCCCCGAGCUCAACUCGGGAACUGCGUCCGAUACUGGCAGGCUUGAAUCCGGGAGAGGGAUGCGGAAUUCCAGGUGUAGCGGUGAAAUGCGUAGAUAUCUGGAGGAACACCGGUGGCGAAGGCGGCAUCCUGGACCGGCAUUGACGCUGAGGCGCGAAAGCCAGGGGAGCAAACGGG
rnacentral:rRNA from 1 species